CAGGGAAGAAAAACUUGGUUUCGUUCUUACGAGCGAGCGAGCGUGGCAAGUGAGCGAGCGAGUUGAGUGCGCGCACGUGUAUUUUUUAGCAUUUCGACGUCGCGGAGUGGAUUUCGCGUAAUUUUGACGAAGGAUUUUCGAGCUAUUUUAGAGUGAUGUGGCUGCUAUCCCGUCUACCGUUCAUUUCCUUAGAUUUGCGUUAUAGUGACACUAUACUCGGUUCGGGUAGCGCCCCGCGAGUACCACUCCAGAGGUUGGGCUAUGAGAUAUUAUUAUGGCAUGGGCCAGACAGUAGCCUGCGUGGUAGCGGACUACUAUAGGUGGGUGCUGGACACAAGACGGCACAGGCUAGACCUCACUGUUGAGUCGGUCACUAUGAUUGGGCAUUAUUGCAAUAUUUUAUUUAGUCUCUAAUUGAUUCAUGCAAAACAUAAUUUACAAUUCCAGCUAUAUUGUAGAGGCAUGAGAGUAGCAGUUAUUUUCAGCAAUUAUUGAUCAUAUGAGUACUUGUUCCUUCAUAUUGCUCGGUAUUUACUAUUUCUGCCUCUUAUGGACCUAGUGGUGUAGAUCGUCAGCGUUGACGAUCGUACCCACUGGAAACUAUUUAUUAUAGUUCCCAUACCCUCUUAUUUAAUAUUUUAUUUUAGAGCCUUCAGCACCAGCGACUGAUCAAGAUAAAGGAAUCGCAAAUAGUUAGCAUCUCCUACCAUUAUUGUGUGUGUAGUUGGACCACCUAUUAGUGAGCAGUCUGUACAAUGUUUUGAUACUUGGAGUGGUCAGAAAUGUUGUACCAUUUUGAAGA